rnacentral:rRNA from 1 species
ACAUGCAAGUCGAGGGGCAGCAUUUUUGAAGCUUGCUUCAAAAGAUGGCGACCGGCGCACGGGUGAGUAACGCGUAUGGAACCAACCCGCAACAGGGGGAUAACCCGGAGAAAUCCGGACUAAUACCGCAUGGUACUCUUUGCACAGAAGUGUGAAGAUUUAAAGAUGCGAAUCGGUUGCGGACGGUCAUGCGUUCCAUUAGCUAGUUGGCGGGGUAACGGCCCACCAAGGCGACGAUGGAUAGGGGUUCUGAGAGGAAGGUCCCCCACACUGGUACUGAGACACGGACCAGACUCCUACGGGAGGCAGCAGUGAGGAAUAUUGGUCAAUGGGCGAGAGCCUGAACCAGCCAAGUCGCGUGAGGGAAGACGGCCCUAUGGGUUGUAAACCUCUUUUAGAUGGGAGUAAAGUGUUCUACGAGUAGGAUAUUGCAAGUACCAUCAGAAUAAGCAUCGGCUAAUUCCGUGCCAGCAGCCGCGGUAAUACGGAAGAUGCGAGCGUUAUCCGGAUUUAUUGGGUUUAAAGGGUGCGUAGGCGGGUGAUUAAGUCAGCGGUGAAAUGCGUCAGCUUAACUGGCGAACUGCCAUUGAAACUGGUUACCUUGAGUGUAGCGGAAGUAUGCGGAAUGCGUGGUGUAGCGGUGAAAUGCAUAGAUAUCACGCAGAACUCCGAUUGCGAAGGCAGCAUACCAUACUAUAACUGACGCUGAAGCACGAAAGCGUGGGUAUCGAACAGGAUUAGAUACCCUGGUAGUCCACGCAGUAAACGAUGAAUACUCACCGUUUGCGAUAUAAUGUAAGCGGUAAAGCGAAAGCGUUUAAGUAUUCCACCUGGGGAGUACGCCGG